UGGGGAAUUUUGGACAAUGGGCGAAAGCCUGAUCCAGCAAUGCCGCGUGUGUGAAGAAGGCCUUCGGGUUGUAAAGCACUUUUGUCCGGAAAGAAAUCCUUGGCUCUAAUACAGUCGGGGGAUGACGGUACCGGAAGAAUAAGCACCGGCUAACUACGUGCCAGCAGCCGCGGUAAUACGUAGGGUGCAAGCGUUAAUCGGAAUUACUGGGCGUAAAGCGUGCGCAGGCGGUUUGCUAAGACCGAUGUGAAAUCCCGGGCUCAACCUGGGAACUGCAUUGGUGACUGGCAGGCUAGAGGUAUGGCAGAGGGGGGUAGAAUUCCACGUGUAGCAGUGAAAUGCGUAGGAGAUGUGGAGGAAUACCGAUGGCGAAGGCAGCCCCCUGGGCCAAUACUGACGCUCAUGCACGAAAGCGUGGGGGAGCAAACAGGAUUAGAUACCCUGGUAGUCCACGCCCUAAACGAUGUCAACUAGUUGUUGGGGAUUCAUUUCCUU
rnacentral:rRNA from 1 species